GCUUGGGACUCUGAAAGAGGCGAAAGGAAUCAACAAAACCAGUCAGUUCUGGUUCUGGCCCUGCAUAUCGUGUCUGCCCCAAAGCCGGCCCGGCGGCCGUUUUCGAUGAAGACACAACGAAAACAGUCUUAUCUUUCCCUGCUGUUCCCGAGCUGGUCCCGGACGCACUUCAGCCGACACCGUCCCUGCUGAGGACCCGGUGUCCCCCUGAAGACGGCCCCUCGGAUUCUGUGUCCCCCUGAAGACGGCCCCUCGGAUUCUGUGUCCCCCUGAAGACGGCCCCUCGGAUUCUGUGUCCCCCUGAAGACGGCCCCUCGGAUCCUGUGACCCCCUGAAGACGGCCCCUCGGAUUCUGUGUCCCCCUGAAGACGGCCCCUCGGAUCCUGUGUCCCCCUGAAGCCGGCCCCUCGGAUUCUGUGUCCCCCUGAAGACGGCCCCUUGGAUUCUGUGUCCCCCCGAAGCCGGCCCCUCGGAUUCUGUGUCCCCCUGAAGACGGCCUCUUGGAUUCUGUGUCCCCCUUAAU